ACAGUUAGGCAGUGAGUUGAUAGCGCCCUGAAAUGGAAAAAUCAGGGCCUCUCACCCACUACCAUGACUGU
ncrna:Oikopleura dioica microRNA odi-mir-1490a precursor (odi-mir-1490a-1)